AUGUUCAUGCCGGUCUAUUUAGUAACCAUUGUAGUUGUCACCAAACUCCUCAUGAGCAAUCUUUCAAGCACCACUGAUGAUAUAAUGUCGGUAGUGAAGAUGCCUCCUGAAACAUUCCUCUGUGUGGCGGACACGCAGAACCAACAUUGUCAAGCGGAAAGGAAAAAAGGGUUUUCAGAAUUAGAGGGAAAAUGUGUGUUUGAGGCCUAUUCCUCAUUGGAAUUACCUGGGAGUCAGGUUGUAGUUCUGCUAAGUUCAUUAAUGGUCCGUUUGGAUGUCCGAAUUGAAUUGGGUUUUGUGGAAAUGACAACAUGGUUUAUUUCGAAAGGUGUUGGUAUUGCGUCGAAGUGUUUGGGUGCCGAAGAAUCAGUGACAUUGAAACUAAGCCUUCCCUAA
rnacentral:rRNA from 1 species